rnacentral:rRNA from 1 species
AUUGAACGCUGGCGGCAUGCCUAACACAUGCAAGUCGAACGGGGCAGCAAUGCCUAGUGGCGGACGGGUGAGGAAUACGUAGGAAUCUGCCCUUAAGUGGGGGAUAACCAGGGGAAACCCUGACUAAUACCGCAUGAUCUCUUCGGAGCAAAGAGGGGGACCGCAAGGCCUCUCGCUAUUGGAGCGGCCGAUGUCAGAUUAGGUAGUUGGUGGGGUAAAGGCCUACCAAGCCGACGAUCUGUAGCUGGUCUGAGAGGACGACCAGCCACACUGGGACUGAGACACGGCCCAGACCCCUACGGGAGGCAGCAGUGGGGAAUUUUGGACAAUGGGCGAAAGCCUGAUCCAGCCAUGCCGCGUGCAAGAUGAAGCAUCUAUGGUGUGUAAACUGCUUUUGUACGGGAAGAAACACUCCCUCGUGAGGGAGCUUGACGGUACUGUAAGAAUAAGGAUCGGCUAACUCCGUGCCAGCCGCCGCGGUAAUAC